rnacentral:rRNA from 1 species
GAUGAACGCUGGCGGCGUGCCUAAUACAUGCAAGUCGAGCGAACGGACGAGAAGCUUGCUUCUCUGAUGUUAGCGGCGGACGGGUGAGUAACACGUGGAUAACCUACCUAUAAGACUGGGAUAACUUCGGGAAACCGGAGCUAAUACCGGAUGAUAUUUUGAACCGCAUGGUUCAAAAGUGAAAGACGGUCUUGCUGUCACUUAUAGAUGGAUCCGCGCUGCAUUAGCUAGUUGGUAAGGUAACGGCUUACCAAGGCAACGAUGCAUAGCCGACCUGAGAGGGUUAGCGGCCACACUGGAACUGAGACACGGUCCAGACUCCUACGGGAGGCAGCAGUAGGGAAUCUUCCGCAAUGGGCGAAAGCCUGACGGAGCAACGCCGCGUGAGUGAUGAAGGUCUUCGGAUCGUAAAACUCUGUUAUUAGGGAAGAACAUAUGUGUAAGUAACUGUGCACAUCUUGACGGUACCUAAUCAGAAAGCCACGGCUAACUACGUG